AGAGCACCAAUGAUGUUUACAUCCAUAACUCAUCCUUGCACUAUGAGGUUAUUACCAGUGAAGAAAAAAUUGGGGAAUUUGUAGUCUGAGGUGUUC
rnacentral:snoRNA from 1 species